rnacentral:rRNA from 1 species
GAUCAUGGCUCAGGAUGAACGCUAGCGGCAGGCUUAACACAUGCAAGUCGAGGGGCAGCGGGUGUAGCAAUACAUGCCGGCGACCGGCGAAAGGGUGAGUAACGCGUGAGCAACGUGCCCGUAUGUGGGGGAUAGUCGAUGGAAACGUCGCGUAAUACCCCGUAACACAUUUGGCCGCAUGGCCUUAUGUUGAAAGAUUGAUUGCAUACGGAUCGGCUCGCGUGCCAUUAGGUAGACGGCGGGGUAACGGCCCACCGUGCCGACGAUGGCUAGGGGUUCUGAGAGGAAGGUCCCCCACAUUGGAACUGAGACACGGUCCAGACUCCUACGGGAGGCAGCAGUGAGGAAUAUUGGACAAUGGCCGGAAGGCUGAUCCAGCCAUGCCGCGUGCGGGAAAGACGGCCCUAUGGGUUGUAAACCGCUUUUGCGAGGGAGCAAUAAGUGCUACGAGUAGUGCGAUGAGAGUACCUCGCGAAUAAGCAUCGGCUAACUCCGUGCCAGCCGCCGC